rnacentral:tRNA from 1 species
GCCCCACUGGCCUAAUGGUUAAGGCGUAUGACUUCUAAUCAUAAGAUUUCGGGUUCGAAUCCCGAGUGGGGUU